rnacentral:rRNA from 1 species
CACGUAGUCAGCCGGUGCUUCUUCUACCCCUACCGUCACUCUCGCUUCGUCGGGGUCGAAAGAGGUUUACAACCCGAAGGCCGUCAUCCCUCACGCGGCGUCGCUGCAUCAGGCUUGCGCCCAUUGUGCAAUAUUCCCCACUGCUGCCUCCCGUAGGAGUCUGGGCCGUGUCUCAGUCCCAGUGUGGCCGGUCGCCCUCUCAGGCCAGCUACCCGUCACCGCCUUGGUAGGCCAUCACCCCACCAACAAGCUGAUAGGCCGCGGGCCCACCCCAUACCGGAAAAAACCUUUCCACACCCCACCAUGCGAUGAAGUGUCCUAUGCGGUAUUAGACCCCGUUUCCAGGGCUUAUCCCACAGUACGGGACAGGUUACCCACGUGUUACUCACCCGUUCGCCACUCCUCCACCCAGUCAAAGACCAGGCUUCAGCGUUCGACUUGCAUGUGUUAAGCACGCCGCCAGCGUUCGUCCUGAGCCAGGAUCAAACUACU